UAAAAAGACAAACAUGGAUUUUCGUGUCCAAUGUUUGACUGUCCCUCUUAAAUGAAUUUUUUUAUAAUUAGUAUUUUCAUUGUUGUUAGAUGAUAAAACAUGAUUAAUACUUUAUGCGUGACUUGUCUUUUUAUUUUAUUUAUUUUUUUUCAAAUAAGACAGACGGUCAAACGUUGGACACGGAAAACCAGGGUUUGUCGUCCC
rfam:Oryza barthii chromosome 7, whole genome shotgun sequence.